rnacentral:rRNA from 1 species
GCGGUGAGCGAAAGGGUGGUGGUUUGGAAGAGGGGGGAAGAGAGCAAACAAGGAUGACCAGCGACCAGCAGCAACGGCCAACGAGGAUCGAUAACGGUGGUGUUCAGACCGAAGAGGUGGUUGCAGGCCGUGGCCUAUGCCGAAGGCGCCGUGGAUCGUGCCGACCUGUAUGUGUUCUGGCCGCCACCACUCCGAUACGGUGCUCCGGCCGCUCCUCUCUGCGGUCUAGUGCGGCCGCCUUCUUCCUAGGUGACAGCACCCGCAACCCCUCUGGACGAGGCCGCAACAAGCUGGUGUUGCCCGUGGUUGGUGCUGCCCAGUUGCUCCUCCCAGCAACGGCCUAGGCUGCUGAGGUUCGUACCGACCGUGGCCUAGACCACUAAGUACUUCGGGUGCUGUUCUACGUAGGUCGGGGUGGGGUCGAGGGGGAUGAACACACUAUAUACCUUGAUAAUGUGAACUACCUUCACUUCAACAGUUUAAAUUGAGCUACACUUCUAGAGCUCGUCUAACACACUAUAUACACUAUAACAACAAGGCUUUAACUUUAUCUAUACAUCUAUACACCUUAACGAUAUAGACAACACUUCUGUCUAAACACUUUGAUUAUGGGCACUACACUUUACUUUAACAUUAACCUUUCAUAAAAAACACAACUUUACGAAAAAAAGAAGAAGUCUUUAACCUUGCGUACAGAUACAUACACUUUGAGAUGUUGUUUUUGUCAGUCAUCUCUGUAGGUUAAAGUAUGGAUCACUGCGGAAUAAAGUAGAGAUCGGUUGAUAUCUCGGCAAAUUCGUUUCGCAGGAACCUCGCGGAGGGAUGCCUGGCAGAGUUUGUCUAUCUGUGCGAUCGGUUCGCACAGAAUGUACCGUACUCUGCGAAAGAUCCCUGCAAGUUUUAGCACAGAUGUAAAUCUCUGCAACACAAUCCGUACGAGUUUUUAACACACAUGUACAUCUCUGCAAUACAAUCCGUACGAGUAUAAUGCAGAGAUGAGUAUCUGUGCAAAGUAAGCGGAGAAUAUCAGCAGAGAUUCAUAUGUAUUCUUAUAAAUAUGUUUACCUUAUAAAAUGAAGUUUAUAAUAAACUAAUGGGCGUUUUUUUAUAAUAAACUAAUUAAAGCUUAAACAAAGUAGCAAAGUUUAUGUUAAUAAGAAUUACAGUACCAACGUGUACGUCUAACCAGUUUAUUAUAACACUAUGCUUCUGUUGGAGUCAUUGUUGUAGGUUACGUAAUUAAUCGUCCUUGUUACAGAGGUGACUUUCAUGAACCUCAAGUGUCGACUUAUUAUACAUUGUAAGUAUACUUUGUACGUUACUACGUUUAUUUAUUCUUUUCUAGGAUAUCUGACCUUGAUAAAAACAGAUACUUCGAUUUAAGAUAUGUAUUAGAUCUUAUAAACAAGUAAGUUUCUAUCUAAGUAGUUGAUGAGGGCUGAGGAGAUCACGUGAGGGAAAAGUUCACGAGGGGUCGGUGAGCAUCGAGGAAGUUACGUGAGUGAGAAGUUUAGGAGUGGCGGGACUUUCCCUCUUUCUUGUUGUAAAUGUACUUGUGUACAAAUAUCUCUUCACGUUCUAUUCUCUAAGAAACUACUUUAACAUUCUUUACAUAGUAUGGUUACGAGACACCAACACGACCUCCCCAACCGAAUUGAUAAAAAUGGAUUUUUUUCCUUCUAAGGACUAUUUAUUGUAUAGUGUGUACACGUCUAACCUCGUAUGUGUAACGAACUUACCCUUGUAUGAAUGUACACUCGCUCCGGUUCGUUAUUGUCUUGGGUAUCGUAGGGAAUGACAAACCUAAAAAAGUAUACCAGAUUGAUCAAAGAGUAGAGGAUCUAUACAUGUCGGCGCUUGUGCUUGACGUUGUAUAACGUGAGGUUCGUACAAAGGAGGUUGGUGUAUACAAAAGAGAAAUGAGAGAUUUCAAGGAAACCGGUGUUCAAACAGAAACAAAGAGUUCAAGUAGCUUAUGUUGUGCUGAAGUUGAAAUAGGAUAAAAAGUUCUUUACCUUGUAAACAAUAACUACUUGGACUCUUCUAAAGUAAAAUGUGUUUAUUCUUGUUAAAGUGUUUAUUAAUCUGGUUGAUAGGUAAUAUAUUAGUAACAGUAGACCUAUAGAUCGGAUAUACAUGGACGAAACACUGAACCACUACUGGUACACCGAACCAACGUAACGAUAAAACUCGUACUAGUAAGACGUUAAUUUAUCCUUAUGCGCACUUCCCUCUGUGCACCGGUUGAUAUUAGUUCUUACUAUCGAAACUUCUCAAGGUAAUGUACUUCAAUCAUUCCUCGGAAUAAGGUGUGCGUGAAAGCCAACGCGUGAAACGAAAGUUUAAUCUAAUUUCAGAAUAAUGUUUUAAUAAAUAACACUUUUGAAACGUUCUUACGUCGUUCGUUUGUUUACUUCAAGUUCAGUACAUUUAAAUAUGUGAUUUUUGUCCUAACUGGAUUAUAAGUUCCCGGUCCCACAAGGAGUUGUAGAUACGUUCCAAAGGUGGUUUUUCUG